rnacentral:lncRNA from 1 species
CCCGCUUGGCGCUUGCUUGCGCGUCUUGGAGUACUGGUCGGGUUUCACCUCCAUCAGUUGGCACCGUCUGUGAUUCAAAGAUAGUCACGACAAAAGCUCCUCGACUUUUUCGAAAAAAGUGAUCGACUUUUUUCCAAGUCGCCAGCUAGGGAGUCUUGCGAGGAAAUCAGCCAGCAAGGGAUCAAAUUUUCAGAAGAUCGACUUUUUCUUCCAAGGGAAAAAAGUCGAUCCCUCAAGGAGCUAGGCUUUCAGGCAUCGACUUCCAAGGAAUCCUCCAAGUGCACUAGGGAUCGACUUUUUGAAGAUCGACUUUUUCUUUCCAAGCAAAAGUCGA